AAAACAGGUGCUCUUUUAUUUGUACCUUCACGUGGGCCUGCCGAAGUGAAACUACAAUGUUGAGUCGCUUUAAAUGUCGCUGCGGCAAUGAAUUAUGGGACGGCAUUUCUCCUUUGCUUUCUCAGUGUUUCUUACGCUAAAGGAGAUAAGAUAGGAAGCAUUGAAUCUCCUUUCCUUAUCAUUUAGAGAAUUAGACUUUCUCUUGUCAUGGCUGCCUCUUAGAUACUUCCGGGUCACUUCACUCAGGAACAGUCUUAAGUAAAAAAAAAAAAAAAAAAACAAAAAAAAAACAACUUUUGACUGCAUGCUGUUUAUAGCCAAUAUAUUUUUACAUGAUGGCAAAGUGGCACCAUUAAGCGAAUUGCCGAAUCGGCGGUUAGUAGCUGCUGUUUGCAAAGUACUCAUGGAUGUCAAACCAACCAUCACUGGAAUACUUCAACCCUGCAGAGAACUUCAAAACAUGGUGAUUCUCAGGCGAAAUAUCAAGCGUCUUCUGUUCUCUGAUUUUCUAAGUGGAUUCAUGGACUUUUAUUCGUGGUGGACAAGAGAGAUAAUGAUAUCCUCGGAAAAUCUCCUUUGGUGAGAAAGUUGACUCUGGUGCUGUCCCGCCAUUAUGAUAAGGAAACGCUCGGCCAAGUCCUGUUUCACACGGUCUUAUGUAACACGUGUCGGUUUCAUUAAACGUCAAUGGGAUUUCAAGUGGCCCUCAGCAGAUCUGAACUGAAACAUACAAGGUGACCAGCAGGAGCAGCCGCCCCAGACACCAGCCUGAUCUUGGCUUGGUUCAGUCUCAUAUGGUUGAACUGUUUGACAAGCAAACCUCCAGGCAGUCCUCA